ACAAACUUGGUCAUUUAGAGGAAGUAAAAGUCGUAACAAGGUUUCCGUAGGUGAACCUGCGGAAGGAUCAUUACAAAAUUGAAGCAUUCGUGCUUUGGCAGCGAGGGGGAAACCCCGGACUGUUAACCCUUUGUGAAAACCCUCUGUUGCCUCGGCGGCACUCCCCUAGGGGAUGGUCAGUCCGCCGGCGGCACCAUUUAAAACCCAUAACCAAUUUGAAGAAGCUGUCUGAAACAUAAAGUCGAAUGACUAUAAAACUUUCAACAACGGAUCUCUUGGUUCCCGCAUCGAUGAAGAACGCAGC
rnacentral:misc_RNA from 1 species